ensembl:lncRNA
CUCAGAGAGACGAGGAGUGAAGCUUCGCUUUUGUGCCUGGUUCAACUCGUGUUUGAGCACACAAACACAUCUUUUCAGCACUUUCUCAGACAGUUCAGGAGACAGACUUUGAGAAUGAAGAGGAGCCAACUAACCACACUGACCCAAUAGGACCUCCAGGUAUAGUUCUAACGUGAAAAACAAUGACGUGUAACCAAUGACGAUGUUAAGAGGCGUGUCCUGCGAUGUAAAGACAAUAUGAAAUCCGCAGCUUCCACAGAAGACCGCUGUUGUUUCCAGCGUGGAGUAUGCUGUUUAUAUUGCCAAGUGACCAGCAUCAGUGUCAGUUGGACUGUGCGGUUAUGAUCUUACACAACCUGAAAAGAUACUUUUUGUAUUGAGGACCCCUCGGUGAUAAUACAGAGUACAUCACCAUAAUGGCUUCAGUUACGGACACCCCACCUUGUGGCUGCACAGCAUCAGACCAGUCACGGAACAACCAACAACCUCUACACAUAAUCAACCGACCACACCCCAAAAUACAAAUGAACCGGCCAUUACUUUGUUACACAGCGAUGUACACAAUAAUCCUCAGGUGCAAGGUUUGUUAAAAUGAUAUUGCCUUCUAUGGCCAUCUUCCUCAGAUACAAAAUAAAUAAUUUUUGUAAAACCAUAGGCAAAACUCUCUGCUUAACUUUCCACAUAAUAAUCAAAAUCUUCAAAUCAACCAAAUCUUCCAGAAUUUACAAAUAAGCUAUUAGUGUGUUCUCUAUAGCCUGUCUUGUUGAUUAACCUUAAUGCUUUUUUCUGUAACAAAAACAGAGGUUUUGUGUUAGUAGGGUAUGUAUUACCCCAUACUUCUGUGCAGUAACCAAAAUAUGGGAGUAUUAAGGAAUUGUACAACAUAUGCAACGUUGAAUAAUCUAAAACAUCUUUAACUUUAUAUAAGACCCCAAUACUUUUACAAACUUUACUUUUAAUAUAAGCUAUAUGAUCUUUCCAAUUCAAUUUAUUAUCCAAAAUAACACCUACAAAUUUGAUCUCAUUAAC